rfam:Canis lupus familiaris cont3.13630, whole genome shotgun sequence.
UAUAUUUUAUUCUUCAACAUUAAGGUAACUGCAAACAUAUUGGUGAAAGAAAAUAAAAGGUACUUUUCAGUCUGCAAUAACUUAAAGAAAAAGACCCAGA